rnacentral:misc_RNA from 1 species
UCCGGUUUGACGCCGGCAGUCUCGUUAGAGUGCUCAGCCGAACUGGUAGCAACUAACUAUAAGGGUUGCGCUCGUUAAAGGACUUAACCUAACAUCUCACGACACGAGCUGACGACGGCCAUGCAUCACCUGUCACUUGGCUCAAUAAAGCACUUUUUUCUUUCGGAGAAAUUCCAAGGAUGUCAAGUCUGGGUAAGGUUCUUCGCUUAUCAUCGAAUUAAACAACACGCUCCACCGCUUGUGCGGGUCCCCGUCAAUUCCUUUAUGUUUUAGUCUUGCGACCGUACUCCACAGGCGGGAUGCUUAACGCGUUAGCUUCGCUACAUCCGGGGUCGAUACCGAAUACAGCUAGCAUCCAUAGUUUACGGCGUGGACUAC